rnacentral:rRNA from 1 species
ACUCAAAGGAAUAGACGGGGGCCCGCACAAGCAGCGGAGCGUGUGGUUUAAUUCGAUGCGACACGAAGAACCUUACCUGGGUUUGACAUAGAGGUAGUAGUGAAGCGAAAGCGGAACGACCCUUCGGGGAGCCUCUACAGGUGCUGCAUGGCUGUCGUCAGCUCGUGUCGUGAGAUGUUGGGUUAAGUCCCGCAACGAGCGCAACCCUUGUUGCUAGUUACAUGUGUCUAGCGAUACUGCCGGUCUUAAACCGGAGGAAGGUGGGGAUGACGUCAAGUCAGCAUGGCCUUUAUAUCCAGGGCUACACACACGCUACAAUGGGCAGUACAAUGGGCAGCGAAGGGGCGACCUGGAGCGAAUCUCAUCAAAGCUGUUCGUAGUUCAGAUUGUAGGCUGCAACCCGCCUACAUGAAGCUGGAGUUGCUAGUAAACGCAGGUCAGCUAUACUGCGUUGAAUACGUUCCCGGGCCUUGCACACACCGCCCGU